GAUGAACGCUGGCGGCGUGCCUAACACAUGCAAGUCGAGCGCGAUUAAGUGGAGUGAGAACUUCGGUUCAAGUGAAACUUAUGAAAGCGGCGGACGGGUGAGUAACGCGUGGGUAACCUGCCCCAUACAAAGGGAGUAGCCACUGGAAACGGUGAUUAAUACCUUAUAAGUCGGUAGUCUCGCAUGAGACAGCCGACAAAGAUUUAUCGGUAUGGGAUGGACCCGCGUCUGAUUAGCUAGUUGGUGAGGUAACGGCUCACCAAGGCGACGAUCAGUAGCCGACCUGAGAGGGUGAUCGGCCACACUGGAACUGAGACACGGUCCAGACUCCUACGGGAGGCAGCAGUGGGGAAUAUUGCGC
rnacentral:rRNA from 1 species